UUUGGAUCGGGUCUGGAAUUUCUGAGCGGUCGC
rnacentral:scRNA from 1 species